rnacentral:tRNA from 1 species
GUGUUUGUAGUCCACGAUUAGGAUAAUUGCCUUCCAAGCAAUAGACCCGGGUUCAACUCCCAGCAAACACA